rnacentral:snoRNA from 1 species
AAAAAAUCAAAGGUUUGUACUUUUCUCCUAUGAGCUGGCCUCUCAUAAACUUCAAGGAAAUUAUUUGCCCCACUAUUGGGUGAACCUUUGUAGAUUACACUUGUUAAUAAAGGCUCAAUAAAUGUUGCGACAUUG